AUGAACGCUGGCGGCGUGCCUAAUACAUGCAAGUCGAGCGAACAGACGAGGAGCUUGCUCCUCUGACGUUUGCGGCGGGCGGGUGAGUAACACGUGGAUAACCUACCUAUAAGACUGGGAUAACUUCGGGAAACCGGAGCUAAUACCGAAUAAUAUAUUGCACCGCAUGGUUCAAUAGUGAAAUACGGUUUUGCUGUCACUUAUAGAUGGAUCCGCGCCGCAUUAGCUAGUUGGUAAGGUAACGGCUUACCAAGGCGACGAUGCGUAGCCGACCUGAGAGGGUGAUCGGCCACACUGGAACUGAGACACGGUCCAGACUCCUACGGCAGGCACCAGUAGGGAACCUUCCGCAAUCGGCGAAGGCCUUACGGAGCGACGCGCCGUCAGUGAUGCAGGUCUUACGAGCGUAAAACUCUGUUAUUAGGGAAGAACAAAUGUGUAAGUAAAUAUGAAGGGCUUGAAGGUACCUAGUCAGAAAGCCGCGGCUAACUAUGGG
rnacentral:rRNA from 1 species